UACAAAGAAUGGCAACACCGCCAUAACCCGUGUCACUGUCUCUACGAAAUAUUUGAUAACCUCUAAAUCUAAUUCUGUCAGAAGAUUUCAGCCAAGUUUCAUUUAAAACACAAAUAUCAACAUCUAAAUUAACUAAAAGUUGUGAUAAAAUAGGAAUUUUUGGUUUUAAACUCUGUAUGUUGUGCUGUAAAAUAGUUAACUUUCUAUCCAUUCUGAUUGACAUUUUUAAUAAACAAUUCUUUAAUAGUUGAUGAAUUGACUGGACAAAUCUUAGCUACAGCAACGUGUUCUCCUUUGCAAUUGAUACACAAAGGGAGUAUGCAUAGACCAUAACUUACUUGCUCAGGUAGAACAUUACCAGCAAAGGUGACUGAGACGGUCUGCAAAGGGACGACACCUUCAGGGGUCCUCUUGGUGAAUCUCCUCACAGCCAAGAUCUCCUGCGAACUGAUCAAUUUGUCAAAAAGAUGCCGGUUGCUCAAUUCAGUUGGAAUGAAUUUGAUUACUCCUGUUCGCUCUGAGUUGGAGGCAGGAAUGAAUGCCUUGAUUUCGUGAGAUGAUAGAAAGGCCGAAUUAGACAGUAAAGAGUUGGCGUUUUUCGGGUUAUCGAAAUAUACAGCAUACCGCAAUGCA